GAUGAACGCUGGCGGCGUGCCUAAUACAUGCAAGUCGAGCGAACAGACGAGGAGCUUGCUCCUCUGACGUUAGCGGCGGACGGGUGAGUAACACGUGGAUAACCUACCUAUAAGACUGGGAUAACUUCGGGAAACCGGAGCUAAUACCGGAUAAUAUAUUGAACCGCAUGGUUCAAUAGUGAAAGACGGUUUUGCUGUCACUUAUAGAUGGAUCCGCGCCGCAUUAGCUAGUUGGUAGGGUAACGGCUUACCAAGGCAACGAUGGGUAGCCGACGUGAGAGGGUGAUCGGCCACAUUGGAACUGAGACACGGUCCAGACUCCUACGGGAGGCAGCAGUAGGGAAUCGUCCGCAGUGGGCGAAAGCCUGACGGAGCAACGCCGCGUGAGUGAUGAAGGUCUUCGGAUCGUAAAACUCUGUUAUUAGGGAAGAACAAAUGUGUAAGUAACUAUGCACGUCUUGACGGUACCUAAUCAGAAAGCCACGGCUAACUACGUG
rnacentral:rRNA from 1 species